CCAAAAUUCUUUCAUUAAUUACAGACUCAUUCCUGUGGUGCUGAAUGAGGUUAUUUUUGUUUUCUGUGCACAAAAAACGUGUUUCCGUAUCUUUGUAAAAUUAAAGUUGAACUACAGCUAUCACAUGUACUUUUUUAAUCAGUGUCCUUCUAGGCCUUGACCUUUGUAGUUGUGCAGCUUUCUAUACAGUGCCAAAAAGCUCUCGGAUUUCAUCAAAAAUAUCUUAGUUUGUGUUAUUAAGACGAACUAAGGUCUUAAGGGUUUGGAACAAUUUGAGGGGUGAAAAGUGACCUGGACAUGUUUCUGAAGGACUCACCCUAUUCUAUGACAUAAAUAUUAGAAAACAGAGGUGGAGCUUGGGUGGUGGAUUAUUGACAAAAUAAUUGUUACAGAAGUCCAGUACUGUAAGUCCCCCCUUGUGUUGUGAUCAUCAGAAGAAGUGAAUACCUUGAACUGCUGGCAGAGUGUGCUGAACCACAACCAACUUGAAUUCCCUCUCCCACGGUGAACAAUGCAGUUCUUCCCUCACAAACAAGGGGGCGUUCUCUCACAACACAUCAACUCAGCUUCUCU